UACAGAGGUGGCAAGCGUUGUUCGGAAUUACUGGGCGUAAAGGGCGCGUAGGCGGCCAACUAAGUCAGACGUGAAAUCCCCAGGCUCAACCUGGGAACUGCGUCUGAUACUGGAUGGCUUGAAUCCGGGAGAGGGAUGCAGAAUUCCAGGUGUAGCGGUGAAAUGCGUAGAUAUCUGGAGGAAUACCGGUGGCGAAGGCGGCAUCCUGGACCGGCAUUGACGCUGAGGAGCGAAAGCCAGGGGAGCAAACGGG
rnacentral:rRNA from 1 species